rnacentral:misc_RNA from 1 species
UUUCCGUAGGUGAACCUGCGGAAGGAUCAUUACCGAGUGCGGGUUCCAACGAGCCCAACCUCCCACCCGUGUUUACCAUGACCGCGUUGCCUCGGCGGGCCCACUGGGGCUUGGCCCCGGUCGCCGGGGGGCUUCUGCCCCCGGGUCCGCGCCCGCCGAAGCGCCCUGGAACCCUGUCUGAAUAGUGAGUCUGAGUGAAUGAUUUAAUCAUUAAAACUUUCAACAACGGAUCUCUUGGUUCCG